rnacentral:tRNA from 1 species
AAGGAUUUAAGUUAAAUAAACUAUUAACCUUCAAAGUUAAAAAUAAAUUUAUAUUUAAGCCUUA